rnacentral:rRNA from 1 species
UACGUAGGGGGCAAGCGUUGUCCGGAAUCAUUGGGCGUAAAGCGCACGUAGGCGGAUUCGAAAGUCAAUUGUGAAAGCCCCGAGCUCAACUCGGGAAUUGCAGUUGAAACUUCGUUUCUUGAAUAUCUGAGAGGGUGGGGGAAUACCUAGUGGAGAAGUGAAAUUCGUAGAGAUUAGGUGGAACACCAGAGGCGAAGGCGCCUGCCUGGCAGAAUAUUGACGCUGAGGUGCGAAAGUGCGGGGAGCAAACAGG